GAUCAAAAAGCCCAUCAAACUUCACAGAGAUGAGCAUUGUCACCAGGAAGAGCAAGUGUAAAUGGAAAUGAAGUUAUGAAAUAUACAGUUGUGGGGAAAACAAGAAAUGAAGUUACAUAUGAUGGAACCUAGUGAUGUAUGUCUAACCCUGGUCAGUGGAGGAGAAUGAUUGCCAAAGAUUUCGACGGGUCCCUCUGAGAGUGUGUCGGACUGCAGUGAAGAAGGACAGAGCAAAUCUCAGGAUCCUGAAGGACUCAGAAGCUGUUUGCUCCUCCCCCUACAGAGUGCGUCCUUUUCAUGGGCAGAGAAUGGAUCUUUGUUAUCAGUAUCUCUUCCAACACCCCGGAAAAGUUGACUACCAGAUGCCUGUUACCGUGGCUCCAGAGCCCACUAAAGCUUUGAGUUCCUCCAGGAGAGGGUGGGUUUUGGCAGCUCCUCUUGCCGUUCUAACAACCCAGACACCAGGACACACCCUGUUGACUUAGGAACGCUGGAGAGGAGCAUUUGCUGGAAAUGUCUCUUCUGUUAUUCAGUGGCCAAGUGACUGAUUACUUCUAAGACAGUGAUUUCAUGAG
ensembl:lncRNA